rnacentral:rRNA from 1 species
CCUACGGGGGGCUGUAGUGGGGAAUAUUGGACAAUGGGGGCAACCCUGAUCCAGCCAUGCCGCGUGUGUGAAGAAGGCCCUCGGGUUGUAAAGCACUUUCAGUGAGGAAGAACGCCUGGUGGUUAAUACCCAUCAGGAAAGACAUCACUCACAGAAGAAGCACCGGCUAACUCCGUGCCAGCAGCCGCGGUAAUACGGAGGGUGCGAGCGUUAAUCGGAAUUACUGGGCGUAAAGCGCGCGUAGGUGGCUUGAUAAGCCGGUUGUGAAAGCCCCGGGCUCAACCUGGGAACGGCAUCCGGAACUGUCAAGCUAGAGUGCAGGAGAGGAAGGUAGAAUUCCCGGUGUAGCGGUGAAAUGCGUAGAGAUCGGGAGGAAUACCAGUGGCGAAGGCGGCCUUCUGGACUGACACUGACACUGAGGUGCGAAAGCGUGGGUAGCAAACAGGAUUAGAUACCCCAGUAGUC